ACGACAUCACCUGGACGCGGAUCUGUUUUCUCCUCACGGGGACGACGGAAUCAAGUCCAAAAUAUGGGGGUCGACUCUGCUUUCGCCAUGCACGGUUGUUCCUCAAUGUCGUAAAGCAAAUCGCCCUUCGGGAGGCGAUGGACGGUAUAUUCCUGAUCUUUCGCGUAGCCCCUGGGCUGUGACCGCGUAGAUAAACCAUACCAGCCACAGUU
rnacentral:snoRNA from 1 species